rnacentral:rRNA from 1 species
AUGAACGUUGGCGGCGUGGAUUAGGCAUGCAAGUCGAGCGAGAAUCCCCGCAAGGGGAGGAAAGCGGCGAAAGGGAGAGUAAUACGUAGGUACCUGCCCCCGGGUUCGGGAUAGCUGCGGGAAACUGCAAUUAAUACCGGAUGACGUCCCUGGACCAAAGGUGUGAUUCCGCCAGGGGAUGGGCCUGCGUCCUAUUAGCUUGUUGGUGAGGUAAUGGCUCACCAAGGCCAAGAUGGGUACGGGGUGUGAGAGCAUGCCCCCGCUCACUGGGACUGAGACACUGCCCAGACACCUACGGGUGGCUGCAGUCGAGAAUCUUCCGCAAUGGGCGCAAGCCUGACGGAGCGACGCCGCGUGCGGGAUGAAGGCCUUCGGGUUGUAAACCGCUGUCAGUGGGGAGCAAAUGCAUCAGGGUACUCCCUGGUGUUUGAGCGAUCCGCAGAGGAAGCACAGGCUAAUUCCGU